AGCUCUGUGCAGUGACAGUAUCAUACCCAAUGAGGUUUAUCCCAGGAGCAAUUAUUGCUAAUUGCUCCUUUUCCCAAUACCCCACCACGAUGACUUGAAAUAUAGUCGGCAUUGACAAUUUUUGAUAGUCUGUACAGA
ensembl:snRNA U4 U4 spliceosomal RNA